GGAGGGUAGAACAAUGGGGGACUUAGCUGCAUGACAAGCUAAAACUGGAUUCUAAGUACGCCAAGCUACUACACAAAUUUAAUGAUGUAUAGAGUAUACAAGGAUUUUCGUAUUUGUCUUUGUUUCCGCCUGUCUUACCUAUGUCUUUUUCCAUCUUUUCCAAGUCAUCCUUCAAGAGUUGCCAAAGAAAGCUCCAGCAUGUCUCCUGCUCCUACACAUGCUUCGAUAUGUGGCAGAACAUGCAUGUGAUUGGAUGACUCUGAAGCAAUUAUUGGACAACCCACCAAACCUUUGAGCAGCUGGCAGUGAACAAGGCCAAGAUACAGUGUUAGAUUGAUGAUCACUUUUCUGUCUUUCAGAGAACUUGAAAAAUUUGAUUUGAGACAUUUUCCUCAUGGGGACUGAAGAGGAAGUUAGGCAGGCAGGAAAGCACCAGGCAUUCUCUCCAGCGAUCUUGCAAUCCCUGGCAAAUCUUUUCUUCUUGAAGGUCCCCAGAGUGGUUCUCUUCACCCGCCGGUACCGGACUCACCAGUCACUCAAGCCUCUCCAUUGGCUCCAAUUCCCCGCUGGGUCUUGUCAGGUUUGAACCCUGGCGGCUGGGUUUGCCGCGACAGCCUUUGAUCUGCUGUGGCCCCAGCUGACUCCCCUGGUUGUUUUGAGCACGGCGUUUGAUGUCUCCAGGUUUGCCAUGGCUCUUCCUGCUCCUCAGGGUGCUGUGUCAAAGAAACACUCUUCUGGGGUUGCCAGGAUGGAGCAAAAGCCGUCAUGAAAACAGCGAGAAAAGAUGUACAGGCCUCCCAAAAUGUAGGAGUUCAUCAUGGGUGAUUCUUGCACGGUGAUCAGGCCUACCUGGAAGAUGUUAAUUAGUUGGUGUUCAGGAUGCCAACCCAUCCUAUGCCUUCAAAGAAGACUGCACAGAACACAGAGGUGGAUUUACACAAGGAAAUGUUCUCUUUAAUGAGAGUACAGGACAAUCACCUCCAAUACUCAGGACAGCUGUCUUGACCUGGGCAGGAAGGGUGCAUGCACAGAGCUUAGUGGGAAGUAACAUAUAAACUGUAUACCCUGCCCCAUAUUUUAAUUUCUUCCCCUUGUUUUGCCUAUGUCAUGGCCAAUCUCCAUUUCCUUUGCUGAAUAUCAUUGC